GCCGGGUGUGGUGGCAUGUGCCUGUAGUCCCAGCUACUUGGGAGGCUGAGGUGGGAGGAUCGCUUGAGUCCAGGAGGCUGAGGUUGCAGUGAGUCAAGAUCGUACCACUGCACUUCAGCCUGGGCGACAGAGCCAGAUCCUGUCUCAA
ensembl:misc_RNA Metazoa_SRP Metazoan signal recognition particle RNA